UACAGAGGGUGCGAGCGUUAAUCGGAAUUACUGGGCGUAAAGCGUGCGUAGACGGUUAUUUAAGUCGGGUGUGAAAGCCCCGGGCUCAACCUGGGAAUUGCAUUCGAGACUGAAUAGCUAGGGUACGGUAGAGGGAAGUGGAAUUUCCGGUGUAGCGGUGAAAUGCGCAGAUAUCAGGAGGAACACCGGUGGCGAAGGCGGAUCUCUGGGCCAUUACUGACGCUGAGGAGCGAAAGCGUGGGGAGCGAACAGG
rnacentral:rRNA from 1 species